UACGUAGGGGGCAAGCGUUAUCCGGAAUCACUGGGUGUAAAGGGAGCGUAGACGGCUGUGCAAGCCUGAAGUGAAAGGCGGGGGCCCAACCCCCGGACUGCUUUGGGAACUGUACGGCUGGAGUGCAGGAGAGGUAAGUGGAAUUCCUAGUGUAGCGGUGAAAUGCGUAGAUAUUAGGAGGAACACCAGUGGCGAAGGCGGCUUACUGGACUGUAACUGACGUUGAGGCUCGAAAGCGUGGGGAGCAAACAGG
rnacentral:rRNA from 1 species